UCUUUCAGGGACACUGAUGGAAAAAAUAAUUCAAUAUCUUUGGUGCUGCCGAAAAAACAUCAUAAUAUAUAUACAGACUGUUUCGACUUGGACGCAUACAGGACGCUUUAGUAGCCUUACACGAGCGAGCCAGCCAGCAUAUUUCCUGUGUCUGUAGCAUGAGAGACGUUGAUGUAAAAGUACAACCUCUGAACAGGAUGCUAGUUUAUCACGUGGUCUUUCCCCCAAUCUAUCUCCUUAAUGUUAAGUGCGAAGCAGAGAGGAAUUUUAACAAUCUUUAGUAUGACUCAACCGGGGACCUUCCGAUCUCAGGGUAGAAACGCUAACCACAAGGCGACUGAGUUGGUAUCUGGAUUUGUGAAGGAGGCUAUAAAUGGAGUUCAUACAGAUUCAUUUUAAAAAGCCAUUGAAUCUAUUUCUGUUUCCAUGACCUUUUAUUGUUUGAUGUUGACAUGUUUGAAAGGCAUUUCAACAGAAGUGAAGUACUGUCCAUUGAUUUCCAUAAUAUUUUUCCUGGAACCAAAUGGUGGCAAGAGAAUGGGUAAAUGGGACAGUGAGACACAUCUUGAACAAGCCACUGGGAUUCUUAUUGACUUCAUCAAAAAAAUCAAAGACAAAGUUUGAUAGUUGAUAAAUACUUGUUGGGUGGGGGGAAUGCAAUGGCAAACAAUUCUAACGAAAUCAACUGCACUGCAUGGCUGGUUGGUUAUUCGGCCAUGAUUGUUACUUUUCAGGGGGAAUAGCUGCCUACAACCAGGGGAUUGGAGCGAUCCAUUCGCUAUGUAAGAGAGUGGAUGAGAACACCACUGGAAAGGGACUAUUCCAAUGACGUUGUUGCCAGGGCUCAAUGGUAUCACACCAACUUGGUCUGAGGUUCAUAUCAUUAUCAUUGACCAGCAUCCAGAUCAUUGGAAUGACAGAGGAUCCGACAGGUUACAUUGUGUAGUUCAACUCUUUCAAACGUCAGGUGUUGGACCAUUCAGUAACCUGCUAUGAUGAUUAAUGAUACAUUCACAAUAUGUUAUACACAAUGUAAUAUGAAGGUUUAGUUUGAUGUGUUUAUCUAACAUUGUAGUUGCUACGGUUUUUUUUCUAGGUCAGUAGUCUGGUUUUUCCAAUCAACAUGAAGAUCAAUGUAAUGAGGAAUGUGUAAGGGUUAACAUUGUGUUGAAAAAAAAGUAUUUUAAUGUUAUGUUUGAGUCAGAGGCAGGCAGGCAUCAGGCAAUAAAGACUAAUGUAACAAAA